rnacentral:misc_RNA from 1 species
ACAGCAUGAGCUUGGGAAGACCGACUGGUUGCUUGCCUCAAUGGACAAGAUGCAUUAGUUAUUUAGUUUAUCCAUCUUCUCUCAAUCUUGCUUACAUAGCAAAAUAGAUGCCUCCUUUUGGAUUUGAUGAUAUCUGCCUUCACCAAAAGAAAGAACAUAUUGGAAUUUGUCAUUCGUUAUCCUGUGAAGCUUGAGGCUAGGGAAUGUGCAUAGAUGGAACACAAUGUGAGUCUAAUGGGUGAAGACCACUCCAUAUCACAGAACAAUAACAUGAAGAAAUCAGACAUCCACAGAAGUUAUACUAGUAGUAGAGAACUUCUGUGGAUGAGCUUUGGACAGAUGGGCUUAUUUGUGCCUUUGAAUUUGUCCGAGGACAUGGUAGGAGAUCAAUAAAUUCUAAGUCUACCAUAAGCAAACAAAUAGACAGCGUGCAUGCAAAUGGAAUAAGAGAGUCUUCUUCCCCAAGACUGGAUCGGAACAAACUGUUGGAAUCCUCGUCCAUUUGUGAGUCUAGGGGUAAUCAGAGUGCUCCUUUAAGUGAAUAUAAAGACAGCCUGAUCGAUCAAUCAGGACAAUAUCAUGCUGUGGAAAGAUCUGGGGAUACUCGUUGGGUACCGAUUGGUUGGGCUAGAAUCUCAGAACUUGUUAAAAUGGUGCAAACUGAUGCAAACUGGGCUACGCAGCAACUGGAGUUGAUGGAUGAAGAAGAUGGUCUUACUGUUGCAGAAUUAGCAGCUCCCUACUGGGAGCGCCCCGCAGGGCCCAUAUGGUGGUGCCAUGUUGCUGCAGGUCAUCCCUCUAUCCAGGCCUGGCUCAGCGA